GAUAAAUUAUAAAGUAAAUUUAAAGGAGAAGAAAAAUACCUUCUGACUCAUUUCUGUUUUGCUGGUAACAAACUAUUGCAUAUAUGUGAUGUAGAAAUGGAUUGAGCAUUCUCCAGUUGUGUUCCAGAUUUUCAAAGAAUUCCAAUUCUUCUGGAGCUUUCAGUUGUAUCCCACCUCUGUGUAAGAUAUUUUCUUAAAUCAUUUUACUCCUGGCACACUCUGCACUGCUCAGCAGUCAUGCUAAGCUGAGAAAUCUGGUGUAACUGUUCUGCAUCCAAGCUCUGCCUGCACAAAGUGGUGUAACAAGAGCAUCAGUACAACAUAAUGGAGAUCGUUCCAUGUGCACACAGACUCUGGAAAGAUCCACACUGGGACAGCACAGGCACAUCUCCUCCUCUCCCUAUGUCCACUUGGUAGCACACUUGACCUCUGGGCUUUCUGCUUGCAGAGUGAGGAACCCCAAUGGGUGAGAUCACGGGCAAAGGACCAUGCUUGUCCAGCUUCCAAAUUCAGAAGCCACCAUCUAAGUUCUGGGCUGGUUCAGUCUCCACAUGAGUCAACAGGAGAGAUCUGUCUGCCUAUUCUGCCUCCACUUGGCCAGAUUGGAAAAUUUCAAAUAGCAUGGAAGAAAACAGGCAGAACCUAGUCCAGCCACAACGACAGAUGAAAACUUCAAAAUCAAUAUUGUGAAA
rnacentral:lncRNA from 1 species